UCCGUAGGUGAACCUGCGGAAGGAUCAUUACUUAAUCUGCGGCAACCGCUGUACUCGUACAGCAGUUGUUGUUUGAUUUCCACCCUUGUCUUUUGCGCACCCCCGUUUCCUCGGCUGCUUCGGCAGCCGCUAGGACACCUUAUAACCUUUUGUACUGUUAUAAUCAGCGUCUGAAAAUAUUAAAUUAUUACAACUUUCAACAACGGAUCUCUUGGUUCUGGCAUCGAUGAAGAACGCAGCGAAAUGCGAUAAGUAGUGUGAAUUGCAGAAUUCAGUGAAUCAUCGAAUCUUUGAACGCACAUUGCGCCCCUUGGUAUUCCAUGGGGCAUGCCUGUUCGAGCGUCAUUUGUACCCUCAAGCUUUGCUUGGUGUUGGGUGUUUGUCCCCCGUGUACCGGGUGGACUCGCCUCAAAACAAUUGGCAGCCAGUGUUUUUGGCGUUGAAGCGCAGCACAAGUCGCGCUUCUGACCCAGUACGCUUGCGUCCAUAAGCCUAUUUCUCACUUUUGACCUCGGAUCAGGUAGGGAUACCCGCUUAACUUAAGCAUAUCAAUAAGCGGAGGA
rnacentral:rRNA from 1 species